AUUGAACGCUGGCGGCAUGCUUUACACAUGCAAGUCGAACGGUAACAGGCCGCCAGGUGCUGACGAGUGGCGAACGGGUGAGUAAUGCAUCGGAACGUGCCCAGUCGUGGGGGAUAACUACUCGAAAGAGUAGCUAAUACCGCAUACGAUCUAUGGAUGAAAGCGGGGGACCGUAAGGCCUCGCGCGAUUGGAGCGGCCGAUGUCAGAUUAGGUAGUUGGUGGGGUAAAGGCUCACCAAGCCAACGAUCUGUAGCUGGUCUGAGAGGACGACCAGCCACACGGGGACUGAGACACGGCCCAGACUCCUACGGGAGGCAGCAGUGGGGAAUUUUGGACAAUGGGCGCAAGCCUGAUCCAGCAAUGCCGCGUGCAGGAAGAAGGCCUUCGGGUUGUAAACUGCUUUUGUACGGAACGAAACGGCUCUGGUUAAUACCCGGGGCUAAUGACGGUACCGUAAGAAUAAGCACCGGCUAACUACGUG
rnacentral:rRNA from 1 species